rnacentral:tRNA from 1 species
GGUGUAGCGCAGUUGGUUAGAGCGCCAGAUUGUGGAUCUGGAGGUCGUGGGUUCAAAUCCCAUUAUC